GUUCGGCUGGACGGUGCACAGGUGCUGCAUGGCUGUCGUCAGCUCGUGUCGUGAGAUGUUCGGUUAAGUCCGGCAACGAGCGCAACCCUCGUUCCUAGUUGCCAGCGGGUAAUGCCGGGGACUCUAGGAAGACAAACCUCGUGUAGAGGUGGGAAGGUGGGGACGACGUCAAGUCAGUAUGGCCCUUACGACCAGGGCUGCACACGUGCUACAAUGCCCAGCACAAUGGGAUGCAACACCGCGAGGUUGAGCAAAUCCACAAAACUGGGCCCAGUUCGGAUUGGAGUCUGCAACUCGACUCCAUGAAGUUGGAAUCGCUAGUAAUGGCGUAUCAGCAACGACGCCGUGAAUACGUUCCCGGGCCUUGUACACACCGCCCGUCACAUCAAGAAAGCCGGUUCUGCCCGAAGUACGUGAGUUAACCGCAAGGAGACAGCGUCCUAAGGUGGGGCUGGUGAUUUGGAUGAAGUCGUAACAAGUAGCC
rnacentral:rRNA from 1 species